rnacentral:rRNA from 1 species
CCUACGGGAGGCAGCAGUGGGGAAUCUUGCGCAAUGGGCGAAAGCCUGACGCAGCCAUGCCGCGUGAAUGAUGAAGGUCUUAGGAUUGUAAAAUUCUUUCACCGGGGACGAUAAUGACGGUACCCGGAGAAGAAGCCCCGGCUAACUUCGUGCCAGCAGCCGCGGUAAUACGAAGGGGGCUAGCGUUGCUCGGAAUUACUGGGCGUAAAGGGAGCGUAGGCGGAUAGUUCAGUCAGAGGUGAAAGCCCAGGGCUCAACCUUGGAACUGCCUUUGAUACUGGCUAUCUUGAGUUUGGGAGAGGUAUGUGGAACUCCGAGUGUAGAGGUGAAAUUCGUAGAUAUUCGGAAGAACACCAGUGGCGAAGGCGACAUACUGGCCCAAUACUGACGCUGAGGCUCGAAAGCGUGGGGAGCAAACAGGAUUAGAUACCCUGGUAGUCCACGCUGUAAACGAUGAGUGCUAGUUGUCGGCAUGCAUGCAUGUCGGUGACGCAGCUAACGCAUUAAGCACUCCGCCUGGGGGAGGACGGUCGCGAAGAAUUAAACUUAACAAAUAGAAGUUAGUAGG